CUAACGCUGGCAGUGCGUCUUAAGCAUGCAAGUCAAACGGAAUGUAGCAAUACAUUUAGUGGCGAACGGGUGAGUAACGCGUGGAUGAUCUACCUAUGAGAUGGGGAUAACUACUAGAAAUAGUAGCUAAUACCGAAUAAGGUCAAUUAAUUUGUUAAUUGAUGAAAGGAAGCCUUUAAAGCUUCGCUUGUAGAUGAGUCUGCGUCUUAUUAGUUAGUUGGUGGGGUAAAUGCCUACCAAGACGAUGAUAAGUAACCGGCCUGAGAGGGUGAACGGUCACACUGGAACUGAGAUACGGUCCAGACCCCUACGGGAGGCAGCAGCUAAGAAUCUUCCGCAAUGGGCGAAAGCCUGACGGAGCGACACUGCGUGAAUGAAGAAGGUCGAAAGAUUGUAAAAUUCUUUUAUAAAUGAGGAAUAAGCUUUGUAGGAAAUGACAAAGCGAUGACGUUAAUUUAUGAAUAAGCCCCGGCUAAUUACGUGCCAGCAGCCGCGGUAAUACGUAAGGGGCGAGCGUUGUUCGGGAUUAUUGGGCGUAAAGGGUGAGUAGGCGGAUAUAUAAGUCUAUGCAUAAAAUACCACAGCUCAACUGUGGAGCUAUGUUGGAAACUAUAUGUCUAGAGUCUGAUAGAGGAAGUUAGAAUUCCUGGUGUAAGGGUGGAAUCUGUUGAUAUCAGGAAGAAUACCGGAGGCGAAGGCGAACUUCUGGGUCAAGACUGACGCU
rnacentral:rRNA from 1 species